GGGGACGUAGCUCAAUUGGGAGAGCGCUAGCUUUGCAAGCUAGAGGUUGCCGGUUCGAUCCCGGUCGUCUCCA
rnacentral:tRNA from 1 species